UACGUAGGGUGCAAGCGUUAAUCGGAAUUACUGGGCGUAAAGCGUGCGCAGGCGGUUUUGUAAGUUUGUCGUGAAAUCCCCGGGCUCAACCUGGGAAUGGCGAUGAAGACUGCAAGGCUAGAGUUUGGCAGAGGGGGGUAGAAUUCCACGUGUAGCAGUGAAAUGCGUAGAUAUGUGGAGGAACACCAAUGGCGAAGGCAGCCCCCUGGGUCAACACUGACGCUCAUGCACGAAAGCGUGGGGAGCAAACAGG
rnacentral:rRNA from 1 species